CGGGCUAUGCUGAGGCCAGGUGCCAGGGGGCACUGGGGGUGCUCAGGCCAAGAGGUCUGUCUGAGUCCAGGCUUUGGGCCAGACCAGAUGUGGACCGCCCCUUGCGAGAGCUCCAGAGCAGCCACCUGUCAGCUGAAUGAAGAGUGUCCGUGCCACAGGGACAGAAGAAUCACCCAGCUAAGCCCCAAACAUCCCGGAAGCACAAAUGACAAAACCUGAUGAAACAGUUGGCCUUUGAGCUCCCUAAGCUUAGAGAUUUCAUUACUGAAAUGCUGGGGAGGCCCCUGCACUGCUGUCCUCUCUGGUCGUCCGCACCAAGACACUAUUUCCCCAACACCUGCUGGGCGGCUUUAAUUUCUCUUAAAUGCUAGUUUUGCUUUAUUCGCUUCCGGAGGUGAUGACAAACAGCGGCAGGGUGUCUGGACUGCGUGAGCGUGGCCCCUGUCCGAGCCCCCGGGGGCCUGUGCAGGCACCGCUGGCGCACCGGCCACUGCAGGAGCUGGCCGCCUGGUAAAUUCAAUCACACCCAGUGAUUUCUCGUCUACCCCCAGUGUCCUCUGUCCCCCUUCUUAAAGCUGUGUCUGCACCCAGUCCUGUGAGAGUGACACCGGCAGUCUGUGGUCGCCGUCUCAGUCCUUCUCCCUGACCACCUUCAGGUCCCCAGCGGACACUGCCUGCCUAGGUGUCCCAUCUCUGCGGGAGACCUCUCCCUGGUCCUGACCUCUCCCAGCUGCGUGGGCGUCCCUCUGAGGGCAGGGAAACCUCCAGACGGACCGCCAAGGCCCCUCCAGCUGCACUCCAUUCUUGGCCGUGCGGGAAGGGGUCCCCGCUGCUUGUGUCUGGCGGGCACAGCCCCUUCUCAGGGUCUCAGAUGGAGAGAGGAUUGACCAUUGGUCCAUGGCAGCCAGUCUACUGAGGACGGAAAUGGGGAGGGGGCACAGUGGCCUUGACUCCGUGCAGGUGUCAUGCACUAACUAGACAGGUGUCUUCCAAAUCCCGUGCUCCUCACCAUGUGUUCCAGACUCAGGGGUCUGUUGUGCUCAACUAAUUUGAAAAUCAGCAACAAAACUCUUUCAUGGAAAAAGCGUGGUCCUCAAAGACCAAGAAGGACUUGUCUUUCAAGACAGUUGACUCUGCUUUGCAUUGAAAGACAAAGCAAAUAGGCACAAAACAACGCCAACUACGAAAACACCUUCCUUUAGAAACCCAUUGACUUCUUGUCCCCCCUCUACCCUGGUGCCUCCUCUCCCCAGGGCACAGGCAAGGGCGUGUGUGCACGUGUGUGCACCUGUGUGUGUUGGGGAGACAGCUCUGA